CCUUCUUUUUCUCUCUUUCCUCGGAAUUACUGGGCGUAAAGCGUGCGCAGGCGGUUCGUUAAGUUCGAUGUGAAAGCCCCGGGCUCAACCUGGGAACUGCAUUUGUGACUGCAUCGCUGGAGUGCGGCAGAGGGGGAUGGAAUUCCGCGUGUAGCAGUGAAAUGCGUAGAUAUGCGGAGGAACACCGAUGGCGAAGGCAAUCCCCUGGGCCUGCACUGACGCUCAUGCACGAAAGCGUGGGGAGCAAACAGGA
rnacentral:rRNA from 1 species